rnacentral:rRNA from 1 species
GGAUACGGCCAUACUGCGCAGAAAGCACCGCUUCCCAUCCGAACAGCGAAGUUAAGCUGCGCCAGGCGGUGUUAGUACUGGGGUGGGCGACCACCCGGGAAUCCACCGUGCUGUAUCCUCUU